rnacentral:rRNA from 1 species
AAUGAACGCUGGCGGCGUGCCUAACACAUGCAAGUCGGAUGUGCCGCAAGGUGCAUGGCAGACGGGUGAGUAACGCGUGGGGAAUCUACCUCUUUGUGGGGAAUAACGCUCCGAAAGGAGUGGUAAUACCGCAUGAGACCGUCGACUGGGAUGUCGGCGGUGAAACCUGGGGACCGUAAGGCCUGGGGCAAGGAGAGGAUCCUGCGUCUGAUUAGCUAGUUGGCAGGGUAAUGGCCCACCAAGGCGACGAUCAGUAGCCGGCCUGAGAGGGUGAUCGGCCACACUGGAACUGAGACACGGUCCAGACUCCUACGGGUGGCAG